AUCCACUCCACUGGAGUUUCCUGAGCAAGCCCAUGACAUGGGAGCAGGUCACAUUUUGAAGCUUUUCUGUGCAAUUAUUGGAGGCUGAAAACUUCAUUUUUUAAAAAAGUCAAGAUUAUUCUAUGUUCCUAAGACACUCACAGCAAGGACAUCAGUGUCUUUGUUACCCCAACAAUGAAGAAAAGUUUUCAAGUACAGCUAAAUAUCAUCCAACACCUGAGAGGAGGUCAUUGAGGAGAGAAAGUCAAGCUCAUCACAGUGAAAAGCCAAGAGAUUAUGGACAUGUGUUGAAACAAGAAAUUGUCAAAUGGGAUGUGAGGAAAAGCUUUUUCACCAUAAGGACAGUAGAACAGAGGAAGAGGCUGCCCAGUAAGGAUGUAAGUUUUCCAUCUUUGAAAGUUUUUCAAAAGCCAUCUGGAUUAUAAACCCCAGAGUUCACCUAAUUUGAAUAGAAGGUUGGAAGAGAGACUUUCUGAGGUCUCUUCUGAACUGAAUUUUCUUAUGAUCAUCUACUAUACUAUACCAUAUCCCCUGUUAAUUUUCUCUUUUCCAGAGAGAUAAGUCCGUCCUUACACAUAGUGAUUGUAUACCUUUGAUCAUUUUAGUUGCAUUUCCAUGUUUUACUGUGCCCUUUCUGAUACAGGGCAAUAAGAUGCACAUAGUUUCCAAGAGAGCAUGCACUGCAAAUUAAUGCUAUGUUUAGCGAUAUUAACUGCUUUGUUCCUUAGUCCUUCAGCAGUAAUUUUGCCUGGUAGAUGGCACUUCACUUUGAAUUUGAUAUUUUCAUAGGAUAUAUACAAUAAUACAAAAGCUGUCUGCAGGUGAAGACCUGUCAAGUAGUUUCAGUAGAUUUAGACCCCACCAUUCUGUAAUUGUGAUUAAAUUUGGAUUUGCCUGUAUGUAUUUCUUUGUGUAUAUUGACUCCAUUUCUCAUCUAUCCAAUAUUAUCCUACAGUACUUUCAGUCCGUAUAGUUUUGAACUAAUCUGAAUAUUUCUGUAUCAUCAGAAAGCUUCUUUACAGAGUGAAAAAUAAAAGAAAUGAUAUAUUUUAGUUUCAUGUUAUACUGUUACCUGUUUUAAAGGCACCUUAAAAUUUCCUAGGAAGUAAAUUCACUGAAAAGAAUGUAGAUCAACAGGAAUGAACACUUUUUUUUUUUUAACAAAUGCCUAUGCUUCUCACCUUUUAAAUACUUAAUUGUUAAGGCUUUAGAUCUAACUUUCCACAUCUCAGGCCAAUUUCUUUUUAUUUUAUUUGAACAUGGGUUCCAUUUCUACAGGAUGGCUCUUGUGGUAGCCUUUUUCACUCUGACUUUUAACCAUGAUGUUGCUAUAUUAUUUCUUCCAAGGUCAUUUGAAUUGAUAGAGUAUGUCUAUUUACAGCGUCUACUGUAAUAUCUCUCCAUACUUUUUGGUUGCUCCUAAUCAUUCUCAUUAAUAAA